UACAGAGGUCCCAAGCGUUGUUCGGAUUCAUUGGGCGUAAAGGGUGCGUAGGCGGCGCGGUAAGUCGGGUGUGAAAUCUCGGAGCCUAACUCCGAAACUGCAUUCGAUACUGCCGUGCUUGAGGACUGGAGAGGAGACUGGAAUUUACGGUGUAGCGGUGAAAUGCGUAGAUAUCGUAAGGAAGACCAGUGGCGAAGGCGGGUCUCUGGACAGUUCCUGACGCUGAGGCACGAAAGCGUGGGGAGCAAACAGG
rnacentral:rRNA from 1 species